UACGGAGGAGGCAAGCGUUAUCCGGAAUUAUUGGGCGUAAAGCGUCCGUAGAUGGUUUUGUCAGUCUGCUGUCAAGGCACAGGGCUUAACCCUGUAAAGGCAGUGGAAACUACAAGACUAGAGUGCAGUAGGGGCAGAGGGAAUUCCCAGUGUAGCGGUGAAAUGCGUAGAGAUUGGGAAGAACAUCCGUGGCGAAAGCGCUCUGCUGGACUGCAACUGACAUUGAGGGACGAAAGCUAGGGGAGCGAAUGGG
rnacentral:rRNA from 1 species